rnacentral:piRNA from 1 species
UGGCUGUAGUUCAGGGGCUAAUGUGGAA